rnacentral:rRNA from 1 species
UACGAAGGGGGCUAGCGUUGCUCGGAAUCACUGGGCGUAAAGGGCGCGUAGGCGGAUCUUUAAGUCGGGGGUGAAAUCCUGAGGCUCAACCUCAGAAUUGCCUUCGAUACUGGAGAUCUUGAGACCGGAAGAGGUGAGUGGAACUGCGAGUGUAGAGGUGAAAUUCGUAGAUAUUCGCAAGAACACCAGUGGCGAAGGCGGCUCACUGGCCCGGUACUGACGCUGAGGUGCGAAAGCGUGGGGAGCAAACAGGG